rfam:Stanieria cyanosphaera PCC 7437, complete genome.
GGGGCCGUAACGGUUUCGACAGGUUGGCGAAAGCUAACCCGUGAUACAGGUCGAGAGGGAGUCAACUCUCGGAAAUCCAGGCUCAAAACAAAAAAGUAACUGCGAAUAACAUCGUAAAAUUUGAGCGCCAGGCGGUAUUAGCCUAGGUCUAAACUAGACUUGCUCGCUUUUAGUUUGACUCCGUUAAGGACUAAAAGUUUAACCCCAACGGAUGCAUCUUUUAUUUGCCUCUGGUCAAUUAAAAGGUAAAGACUUUACUAGAGAAUCCCGCCAUCAGGGAUAAGAGAUGGUUCCCGCUCUGAGGAUCAGAAGAGCUAAACCUGUGAAUGAGCGGAAAGUCAAUAUCCAGUCUGGACAGCAGUUCGACUCUGCUCGGCUCCAUAA